rnacentral:rRNA from 2 species
AACCCAAACCCCCAAUAGAGUUUGAUCCCAGCUCAGAACGAACGAAAACGGUGUGCCUACCCCCUGCCCCCCGAGCGGACUUAAAAAGCUUGCUUUUUAAGUUAGCGGCGGACGGGUGAGUAACACGUGGGCAACCUGCCUGUAAGACUGGGAUAACUUCGGGAAACCGGAGCUAAUACCGGAUAAUCCUUUCCUACUCAUGUAGGAAAGCUGAAAGACGGUUUACGCUGUCACUUACAGAUGGGCCCGCGGCGCAUUAGCUAGUUGGUGAGGUAACGGCUCACCAAGGCGACGAUGCGUAGCCGACCUGAGAGGGUGAUCGGCCACACUGGGACUGAGACACGGCCCAGACUCCUACGGGAGGCAGCAGUAGGGAAUCUUCCGCAAUGGACGAAAGUCUGACGGAGCAACGCCGCGUGAGUGAUGAAGGUUUUCGGAUCGUAAAACUCUGUUGUUAGGGAAGAACAAGUACGAGAGUAACUGCUCGUACCUUGACGGUACCUAACCAGAAAGCCACGGCUAACUACGUGCCAGCAGCCGCGGUAAUAUGUAGGUGGCAAGCGUUGUCCGGAAUUCUUGGGCGUAAAGCGCGCGCAGGCGGUCCUUUAAGUCUGAUGUGAAAGCCCACGGCUCAACCGUGGAGGGUCAUUGGAAACUGGGGGACUUGAGUGCAGAAGAGAAGAGUGGAAUUCCACGUGUAGCGGUGAAAUGCGUAGAGAUGUGGAGGAACACCAGUGGCGAAGGCGACUCUUUGGUCUGUAACUGACGCUGAGGCGCGAAAGCGUGGGGAGCAAACAGGAUUAGAUACCCUGGUAGUCCACGCCGUAAACGAUGAGUGCUAAAUGUUAGAGGGUUUCCGCCCUUUAGUGCUGCAGCAAACGCAUAAGCACUCCGCAUGGACACGCCAACGGGAAUA